UACGUAGGGCGCAAGCGUUAUCCGGGAUUAUUGGGCGUAAAGCGCUCGUAGGCGGUUUGUCGCGUCUGCCGUGAAAGUCCGGGGCUCAACUCCGGAUCUGCGGUGGGUACGGGCAGACUAGAGUGAUGUAGGGGAGACUGGAAUUCCUGGUGUAGCGGUGAAAUGCGCAGAUAUCAGGAGGAACACCGGUGGCGAAGGCGGUUCUCUGGGAAUAUCCUGACGCUGAGGAGCGAAAGUGUGGGGAGCGAACAGG
rnacentral:rRNA from 1 species